GAAGCUUCCGACAAUACGGCGAUGGAGACAAAUUUGGCACCAUGUUUCGUCGAUGGAGUAACUCUCACCACAAUGAGGAAGAUGACUUGCUGCAGUUCGAAUCUAAUGAAGAAGUUGCUAUUGAAGGUGAAAUUGGAAAAGUAUACGAGCAAGUUUUCAUGAUCGUUAUGGAAGGAGUGUUCUUAUAUUGAGACUUGGAAUGCAGAAUACUCAUGUACUGUUUGAUGAGGACUA